AGUGACGAUAGCCUAGGAGAUACACCUGUACCCAUGCCGAACACAGCAGUUAAGCCCUAGAACGCCUGAUGUAGUUGGGGGUUGCCCCCUGUUAGAUAUGGUAGUCGCUUAGCU
rnacentral:rRNA from 1 species